rnacentral:rRNA from 2 species
AAAGACAGGUGAGAAUCCUGUCCACCGAAUGACUAAGGUUUCCUGGGGAAGGCUCGUCCUCCCAGGGUAAGUCGGGACCUAAGCCGAGGCCGAGAGGCGUAGGCGAUGGAUAACAGGUUGAGAUUCCUGUACCAGUUAACUGCGUUUGACGAUGGAGGGACGCAGGAGGCUAAGCAAACCGUACGACUGGAAGAGUACGGCCAAGCAGUAAGUCAGGAUGUGAGUCAAAUGUUUACAUCCGUGUUGACAAGCUGUGAUGGGGAGCGAAAUUAAAGUAGCGAAGUUGCCGAUGUCACACUGCCGAGAAAAGCUUCUAAGGAGUAGUUAACUGCCCGUACCGCAAACCGACACAGGUAGUCGAGGAGAGAAUCCUAAGGUGAGCGAGAGAACUCUCGUUAAGGAACUCGGCAAAAUGACCCCGUAACUUCGGGAGAAGGGGUGCUGGCCGCAAGGCCAGCCGCAGUGAAUAGGCCCAGGCGACUGUUUAUCAAAAACACAGGUUUCUGCAAAAUC